UGGGGAAUCUUAGACAAUGGGGGAAACCCUGAUCUAGCCAUGCCGCGUGAGUGAUGAAGGCCUUAGGGUUGUAAAGCUCUUUCAGCUGGGAAGAUAAUGACUGUACCAGCAGAAGAAGCCCCGGCUAACUCCGUGCCAGCAGCCGCGGUAAUACGGAGGGGGCUAGCGUUGUUCGGAAUUACUGGGCGUAAAGCGCACGUAGGCGGAUCGGACAGUUGGGGGUGAAAUCCCGGGGCUCAACCCCGGAACUGCCUCCAAAACUACCGGUCUGGAGUUCGAGAGAGGUGAGUGGAAUUCCGAGUGUAGAGGUGAAAUUCGUAGAUAUUCGGAGGAACACCAGUGGCGAAGGCGGCUCACUGGCUCGAUACUGACGCUGAGGUGCGAAAGCGUGGGGAGCAAACA
rnacentral:rRNA from 1 species